AUCUUUCUAGUAUAUUUAGUAUUAGUGACUUCCAAUCACUUGGGCUUGGUUAAAACCCAAGGAAAGAUA
rnacentral:tRNA from 1 species